GGCCAUACCACCCUGAACGCGCCCGAUCUCGUCUCAUCUCGGAAGCUAAGCAGGGUCGGGCCUGGUUAGUACUUGGAUGGGAGAAGCACAAAUAUUAAAAAAUUAAUGGCGAGUCACUCAGUGGCU
rnacentral:rRNA from 1 species